rnacentral:rRNA from 1 species
GACGAACGCUGGCGGCGUGCCUAAUACAUGCAAGUCGAGCGGACGGAUGGGAGCUUGCUCCCAGACCGUCAGCGGCGGACGGGUGAGUAACACGUGGGCAACCUGCCUGUAAGACUGGGAUAACUCCGGGAAACCGGGGCUAAUACCGGAUAACUCUUUCCCUCACAUGAGGGAAAGCUGAAAGAUGGCAUCUCGCUAUCACUUACAGAUGGGCCCGCGGCGCAUUAGCUAGUUGGUGAGGUAACGGCUCACCAAGGCGACGAUGCGUAGCCGACCUGAGAGGGUGAUCGGCCACACUGGGACUGAGACACGGCCCAGACUCCUACGGGAGGCAGCAGUAGGGAAUCUUCCGCAAUGGACGAAAGUCUGACGGAGCAACGCCGCGUGAGUGAUGAAGGUUUUCGGAUUGUAAAACUCUGUUGUCAGGGAAGAACAAGUACCGGAGUAACUGCCGGUACCUUGACGGUACCUGACCAGAAAGCCACGGCUAACUACGUG